rnacentral:lncRNA from 1 species
CUCUUACAGUGAGAACUAGGAGUGGAAGCCACGUCAAUGAGUACUUGAAGUACCCUCUGACCUUUCAGAGACUGAGUUUUCUUGCAGUACAACCACACAAGCUCUGUAGCUUUUCUACAUCCCAAGAACCAGAAGUACAUUCAUUAGACUGUUGAAGGUACAAAUGCUGUGUAUUCUUCUUUCAGCUGAAUGAGAAACUCAUCAUCGCAUGCUCUGAGCCAUCAGGAAGUGAACCUCAAAUUGGGAUCUGAGUGUCUUGGUUGGUACAAGUUGUUGUUCCUUGUGCAAAGAGAAGACCUUUCCUUUGGCUCAGAGAUGGCAUCACUGCAUCAGUUGAGUGGUUACCUGGAUUGGAAGAUGGUAAAAAGCAAUUGCUGCUGGGCUUUUUUUGUACAGCAGAAAGAGGUCGCAAUCUUCCCUGUGGACUGUGGUGGUUAUUCCCCCAAACUUAUGCCUUUUGCCAGCUUGGUGAUAGAACUUCGGGGUUUCAGUGGAGCAGGUGUCAAAGCACACAGCCAAGGAAUGGAGCUGAAGGCAUAAUUCUUAGUCUGAGACCUUAAGUAUGGGCACAGUUGUAAUCUGAGAAAAUCAUGAAUGUCACCAAUGCAUUCUGGUAAAGUGAUAGCUAUAAAAUGAAAGAUUUAAAGGAAGCAAUCAUAAUGGUUAACAGCAGUAUGAAAAAGCUUAAACAUGUUCAUAAAUUUCAAUAACUGCUGAGCAAUAUACUGGAUUCAUCUAGGAGAGAUUUAAUUUGAAAAAUGCUAAAUAGGAGGAACAGACUGGAAACAGACAUUCCUCCUGAAGAUGAAGCCUUUUGGUGAGAAAUUUACAUUGCACUUCAGCUGAAGCGAUACUAAAUGUGAGUACAAUGUGUUAGAAAAGGAAUUAUAAAAUAAAUUGUGGAAGGAGGUUUUUAAAUUUGCACGUUAAGGAAAAAAAGCUUUAUUUUGUAUUCUCACUUCAGAUGAUGAUCGUGUCUUGAUGUAUAAGUGCCCAUGCAUGCUGAAAUAAAUGAAAAUAACAAAAAAAAAUGGUAUUAACUACAUAGAUUUUUAAUAGAAAAAGAAAAUGACUGAAGUCUUAUCACAGGGAAGUAUAAACAUAUAUGCUUGUGAGCAAGUAUCCAGAACAUACGCAUCGAUUUCAACAAUGCAUAAUAUAUAGAAUACAAAUGCUUUAGAUGAAUUUCAAAUUUGCUGUGUUUAAAAUUAAUUGUAUUCUGAGACGGAGCCUUUCAUUGCAGAUAGUUUUAGCAAGAUGCAUCAGUGCACUAAGAUUUUUUGAAAUGGUGAAUACCUUCUUUGUGUUGCUAAUUGCAGCUGUGCAGUCUGCAAAUGAAGGAUAUCCAGCAUCUUAUUUCCCAUUUCAAUCAUUUUAUUCCUGUUGAU